rnacentral:rRNA from 1 species
GACGAACGCUGGCGGCGUGCUUAACCCAUGCAAGUCGAACGGUGAAGCGCCUUCCUUUUUGGUGGGUGUGGAUGAGUGGCGAACGGGUGAGUAACACGUGAGUAACCUGCCCCCUUCUUCUGGAUAACCGCAUGAAAGUGUGGCUAAUACGGGAUAUUCUGGGUCUGUCGCAUGAUGGGUCUGGGAAAGAUAUUGUUUCGGUGGGGGAUGGGCUCGCGGCCUAUCAGCUUGUUGGUGGGGUGAUGGCCUACCAAGGCGGUGACGGGUAGCCGGCCUGAGAGGGUGGACGGUCACACUGGGACUGAGACACGGCCCAGACUCCUACGGGAGGCAGCAGUGGGGAAUAUUGCACAAUGGGCGCAAGCCUGAUGCAGCGACGCCGCGUGAGGGAUGGAGGCCUUCGGGUUGUGAACCUCUUUCGCCAGUGAAGCAGGCCUGCCUCGUUUGUGGGUGGGUUGACGGUAGCUGGAGAAGAAGCGCCGGCUAACUACGUG